GUCCCGGGGCGCGGGGUCGGGGUCCGGGGGUGCAGCUGUGGCUCGGGGUCGGGGGCGCUGCUGGGCGCGGGGGCGCGGCUGGGCUCAGGUCCCGGGGCGCGGGGGGCGCGGCUGAGCCUUGGGGGUCCGAGGGGCGGGGUCCGGGGUCCGGGGGCGCGGCUGGGCUCGGGGUCGGGCCCCGCGGGCCUUGUCCCCUCCCUGCGGGCGGACCCGCUGCGGCUCAGACUCUCCGCGCGACGAGAACGCUCCAGGUGGUAAGGACCCGAAAGGCCCAUUCGGAUAGGGAAGCGCAGUAGGUCUUCAUCAGGAGUUGAGCAGCUGAAAGUUCUCGAGUGGGAGAUGAACUGCUUCCAGCUGCACACACAGACACGGCCCAGAGGAGGGCUUCCGGCGUCCGGAUCCGGCUUGCCCGGUCGUUUGCAGGCUCAGACAGACAGGUUCCCGUCGGUGGACAGACGGCUACGGUGUGUGAAUUGCAUAUUUAUUUGUUGUCCGAAGACAAAGCUUCCUGGAUGCAAAAGGGAUAGACCGUCCCCAGAGUUGGCUGAGCGCAGAGAGAAAUCCUUGACAACUGCAGAAAUGCCAACCGGCCUGGCACCAGGCACGAAGGAUGCACGCACGUCUCCUCUUCCCUGGUCCUCCCAGAAGCAAGCUUGUGAAAUGUGA
rnacentral:lncRNA from 1 species